GAUGAAGAACGUAGCGAAAUGCGAUAAGUAGUGAGAAUUGCAGAAUUCAGUGAAUCAUCGAAUCUUUGAACGCACAUUGCGCCUCCUGGUAUUCCGGGAGGCAUGCCUGUUCGAGCGUCAUCAAAAACCUCAACCCAUGAUUUAUUGUGAGUUGGUUCUGCAUUGGACUCCUUGUGGGUCCUUUGCGAAAUCCAAUGGCGAAGAGCCACGCAACCAAAGCGUAGUAUAACUAUUUCGUUAUGGAAGCGUGGGUGCCUCUGCCGUAACCCCCAAUUUCUUAGUUUUUGACCUCGGAUCAGGUAGGGAUACCCGCUGAACUUAAGCAUAUCAAUAAGCGGAGGA
rnacentral:misc_RNA from 1 species